rnacentral:rRNA from 1 species
GACGUAGGGCGCGAGCGUUUGUCCGGAUUAUUGGGCGUAAAGAGCUCGUAGGCGGCUUGUUGCGUCAGCUGUGAAAACCCGCAGCUCAACUGUGGGCUUGCAGCUGAUACGGGCAGGCUUGAGUUCGGUAGGGGAGACUGGAAUUCCUGGUGUGAGCGGUGAAAUGCGCAGAUAUCAGGAGGAACACCGGUGGCGAAGGCGGGUCUCUGGGACGGUACUGACGCUGAGACGCGAAAGCGUGGGGAGCGAACAGG